rnacentral:misc_RNA from 1 species
GAAAUGCGAUACUUGGUGUGAAUUGCAGAAUCCCGUGAACCAUCGAGUCUUUGAACGCAAGUUGCGCCCGAAGCCAUUAGGCCGAGGGCACGCCUGACCUGAGGUCUCGUUGGGAGCGUGCGUGCACGCAAAGGGUCGUCGAUGGGUCCAGAACUGACCGGCUCGCACGUGAUUGGUCUCGAGCGUGGCUCAUCCACCAUUUUAUCACGGCGAAGUCGGCCAUGAACCCAGAUUUCAACCAACCACGAGGCGGGUGCUCGCGGGAGGUCAGCAUACACCCCGCGCAGCAACAUUGUUACAUGUUUGCGUUGGGGAAACGAUGUGUGACACCCAGGCAGGCGUG